UUUGUGACAGUAGGUGGAUGUGGUGGUGGCAAAGGUCCUGCACCUCUAACCUCUGACAGUGAACGUGGUUCAGCUUUCUGCUGUUCAGGCCGCUCCAGUCAUUCUUUAUGUUACGCUGCCGCCUCAUGAAAGGACACCGUGAGUUUGUUUGGUGGACUGGAACGGCAUCAAAGCAAAGAACAGAGGCGCGUGUGCCGGGCUGUCGCUGAAGUGAGAACCGCUCCACGGCUGCUUGGUUUGAACAGAUGAAAGGGUUAAUCUCAUUUGACGACAUACAACCGUGAGUAAUGACUCCAAAGCCUCCCACUGCCUUUGCACUGUUUCAUUUGCAACUUUUUCCUGAAGCAUGGCCUUAUUUGUUGUACAGCCUUGGCUGCACUCUGCCUUUCUUGCCUCCAUUGUACUCGCAGCAGCCCGCUGCUUACUGUCUGUGUGUGCCUAGGUAAACACAUUAUGGGAAUAGAAGCUAAUCCAUCACGGGAGUCACGCUGAAAUGUUUCUCCCUCAGGGCUCUGCAGUGCUGUGGUAUCAGGUGGAAAGUUUCCACUUCCUGUCUUUGUCGGCAGGUUCCUGGCCGAAGGGGGCAAUUUCACGAUUGGCCCCCGGUGGAUUGAACAUACGACCCACGGGCGACACUACCUGUUCCACCACUACCCCGGAUGGCGCCACUCCUGGAAGGGGAGGUUUACGCUGUACCCUGAGUGGGAGACGAGAUGAGGGAUGUUUCCAUCUAUCUUUCAAGAAGUAAUGAAGUCAUCAUCCCUGCAAAAGAUGUGUCCUGACCCUGUCGUAUCCUGAUGACACCCAUUGGCCACAUCACAACCCAUUUAAGAAAAUGAGGGCUUUGAACAACACCUCCUUUACCUGCUCACAUCCUCAUUGUCGUCCACUUAAGAAGCCUAUUGACGUCAUGUGAGAAGUGUAACCACCCUGAACAAUAGGCGGCAAAGACUCCGAUACAGUUUCCACGAGCAGACGUCAGCUGUGAUGGGAUGGGAUCAUUAAUGGGAUCAUCACCGUUAUGUAUCAAGGGCUUUUAAUGAAGGUUUCUGUCAAAUGUGAUUGGUGGUUUAUUAUUUACUGAAAGAAAAUAAACUGGCAAAUGCUCA
rnacentral:lncRNA from 1 species